UCUUCGAAGAAUUUCAGGGUCUUUUUGAUCAUCUGAGGCUUAAAAUCAAUCGCUGGAUUAUAGUAUUUGUUAGUGAAAWGUUUAUUUAUMGAUUUAUUUGAUUGUAGUAUUUGAUAUUCUUUAAAUGACAUGAUUCUUGCCUCGUCAAAUGUUCGGACCAUGUGGCGGGCGAUGCGUGUCUGCAUUCACUCCAUAAAGAAGCCAUGCCCUGUUCGCAUUAUUAGAACCAGUGCAUGUCCGUCUUAACAUGAUGGUUUGAUAAUAAAUCUCUAAAGGAAACCAGUCUCAAAAGAGSAACUGAAAAUCAAGCAUGGAGUAUGUAAUGAUUGUAAUAUGUCUCUGUAGUCUGAUGCAUCAGUUUGCAAAACAGCUCUAUUGAUUGUCAGAUGGACACAAUGAUGUAAUAAAUACAUUUAAUUUCCUGCGAUCUUGUUCUUGUUGUCUGUAGAGGAGGAGGAUUUGUGCAACACUGAGAAUAGUUAACGUUUCUGUUCAUGUCGAGACGGACGAUCACGAAUGUUCCAUCUGUCAUGUUCCACUGCCCUUUGCGUUGGACUGUUGGGAUUGCGCAAAGGACCUGCCCGACGACGAACUUGAGGUGGGUGUCUUCACAACCCCCGCAUCUCGCACCGAGCUUGAGAUUCCUACCGAAGUUCCAGCAGAAGUCCCAGGGGUCAUUGCGACCCCUGAUGAAUUGACAUCUCGCCCCG